rnacentral:rRNA from 1 species
GACGUAGGGCGCAAGCGUUGUCCGGAUUUAUUGGGCGUAAAGAGCUCGUAGGCGGCUCGUUGCGUCGGCUGUGAAAACCCGCGGCUUAACUGUGGGCUUGCAGCCGAUACGGGCGGGCUGGAGUUCGGUAGGGGAGACUGGAAUUCCUGGUGUAGCGGUGAAAUGCGCAGAUAUCAGGAGGAACACCGGUGGCGAAGGCGGGUCUCUGGGCCGACACUGACGCUGAGGCGCGAAAGCUAGGGGAGCGAACGGG